rnacentral:rRNA from 1 species
GAUCAUGGCUCAGGAUGAACGCUAGCUACAGGCUUAACACAUGCAAGUCGAGGGGCAGCAUGGUCUUAGCUUGCUAAGGCCGAUGGCGACCGGCGCACGGGUGAGUAACACGUAUCCAACCUGCCGUCUACUCUUGGACGGCCUCCUGAAAGGAAGAUUAAUACAAGAUGGCAUCAUGAGUCCGCAUGUUCACAUGAUUAAAGGUAUUCCGGUAGACGAUGGGGA